UAAGCCUGUGAAGGUGUGUCGUGAGGCAUGCUGGAGGUAUCAGAAGUGCGAAUGCUGACAUAAGUAACGAUAAAGCGGGUGAAAAGCCCGCUCGCCGGAAGACCAAGGGUUCCUGUCCAACGUUAAUCGGGGCAGGGUGAGUCGACCCCUAAGGCGAGGCCGAAAGGCGUAGUCGAUGGGAAACGGGUUAAUAUUCCCGUACUUGGUGUUACUGCGAAGGGGGGACGGAGAAGGCUAUGUUGGCCGGGCGACGGUUGUCCCGGUUUAAGCGUGUAGGUGUGUGUUCCAGGUAAAUCCGGUUCACUUUAACACUGAGGCGUGACGACGAGGCACUACGGUGCUGAAGCAACAAAUGCCCUGCUUCCAGGAAAAGCCUCUAAGCAUCAGGUAACAUCAAAUCGUACCCCAAACCGACACAGGUGGUCAGGUAGAGAAUACCAAGGCGCUUGAGAGAACUCGGGUGAAGGAACUAGGCAAAAUGGUGCCGUAACUUCGGGAGAAGGCACGCUGACACGUAGGUGAAGUGAUUUACUCAUGGAGCUGAAGUCAGUCGAAGAUACCAGCUGGCUGCAACUGUUUAUUAAAAACACAGCACUGUGCAAACACGAAAGUGGACGUAUACGGUGUGACGCCUGCCCGGUGCCGGAAGGUUAAUUGAUGGGGUCAGCGCAAGCGAAGCUCCUGAUCGAAGCCCCGGUAAACGGCGGCCGUAACUAUAACGGUCCUAAGGUAGCGAAAUUCCUUGUCGGGUAAGUUCCGACCUGCACGAAUGGCGUAAUGAUGGCCAGGCUGUCUCCACCCGAGACUCAGUGAAAUUGAACUCGCUGUGAAGAUGCAGUGUACCCGCGGCAAGACGGAAAGACCCCGUGAACCUUUACUAUAGCUUGACACUGAACAUUGAGCCUUGAUGUGUAGGAUAGGUGGGAGGCUUUGAAGUGUGGACGCCAGUCUGCAUGGAGCCGACCUUGAAAUACCACCCUUUAAUGUUUGAUGUUCUAACGUGGACCCGUGAUCCGGGUUGCGGACAGUGUCUGGUGGGUAGUUUGACUGGGGCGGUCUCCUCCUAAAGAGUAACGGAGGAGCACGAAGGUUGGCUAAUCCUGGUCGGACAUCAGGAGGUUAGUGCAAUGGCAUAAGCCAGCUUGACUGCGAGCGUGACGGCGCGAGCAGGUGCGAAAGCAGGUCAUAGUGAUCCGGUGGUUCUGAAUGGAAGGGCCAUCGCU
rnacentral:rRNA from 1 species